rnacentral:rRNA from 2 species
UUGGAGGGCAAGUCUGGUGCCAGCAGCCGCGGUAAUUCCAGCUCCAAUAGCGUAUAUUAAAGUUGUUGCAGUUAAAAAGCUCGUAGUUGAAUUUCGGGGUUAGUAGGCUGGUCAUGCCUCUGGUAUGUACUGGUCUCACUGAUUCCUCCUUCCUGAUGAGCCGUAAUGCCAUUAAUUUGGUGUUGCGGGGAAUUUGGACUGUUACUUUGAAAAAAUUAGAGUGUUUAAAGCAAGCUAACGCUUGAAUACAUUAGCAUGGAAUAAUGAAAUAGGACGUUCGAUCCUAUUUUGUUGGUUUCUAGGAUUGACGUAAUGAUUAAUAGGGAUAGUUGGGGGCAUUAGUAUUCAAUUGUCAGAGGUGAAAUUCUUGGAUUUAUUGAAGACUAACUACUGCGAAAGCAUUUGCCAAGGAUGUUUUCAUUAAUCAAGAACGAAAGUUAGGGGAUCGAAGACGAUCAGAUACCGUCGUAGUCUUAACCAUAAACUAUGCCGACUAGGGAUCGGAUGAUGUUAAUUUUUUAAUGACUCAUUCGGCGCCUUACGGGAAAC